ACACAGGUUCUAGCUAGAGCUUAUGAUUACGGAAUGGGAGUUGUUCUGUUUGCGCCAAUGGCUAUCUUAGCUUGGCUUCCUAUCAUCUCUGCGUUUCAGACGCGGUUUCUCUUCAACGAGGCAUUUAACAGGAGGCUUCAGAUUCAACCUAUUCUUGCUGGGAAGAAGAAGAAAUAAAGACUUCUCUUCCUUUCUUCCACGCCUUUGCUUUGUACAUCUUUGUAACUAUUUCACUUUUAAUUGCUCUCUGUAGUCUGUACAAAAAUUCUAUUGAAUACAAAAUAUUUAACCGGUGUUCACGAUUUUUUUUUUUUUAAUCAAGGGUGGUUAUUUAUGUUGGUUUAAGCUUGAAAGCUAGCUUGAAACACAAGCUAUCCUAGAUCUAUUAGAUAUGCUUAUCUAAAAAGGAUUAGGAAAGACUAAAAGUAUGAUUACUAAUAGGAUUAGGAUUAUCUAGUCUUAUAUAUAUUGAAGAAUGUUAUGAAAUAACUUAUAAUUUAUAGUAUCGGGAAAUUUAAAUAAGAGUAGAAUUCAAUACCCGUAGGAAGCAAAUAACACUUAAUAUGAGAGAAAGAGUUUAUUAUAAGGAAGAAGAAGAAGAUGUAAUUGUGUACAAAAGAGUGAGAUGAGUGAUGGUAUUUAUAGUGAGCAACAAUACAUAAAAUAUCAAAGAUGGUGCUUGAUUUGGUAAAUGAGUGGGUGAUCAUAGUGCUUGAUGAAGCCUUAUAUACCUCCUCCAGUUAAAAGUCUUACUUCACUUUCCCCUGCCUUUGGUAUGUAAUUUUUUUUUAUAUAUAUCUAACAUUGUCUCAGGAUCAUAUCUGGCAUAAUAAACGAGAUAGAGGAAAGCAUCAGACAGUCAAGUUUGCUUGAAGAAUUUAAGUUGAAAGAGCUUCCAACGUUGCAUAAAAAAUGUAUUGAGUUGGUUCAACUUCUGGUAAUUGAUCUUCUGGUGUGGGAAAGAUUUUGUAUCUUUUUCGUUUCAUAAAACUAAAGUUAGUUCCAAUGGUUCUUCUGUACAUUCCAGGUUGAGGGAAGUGAAGAUAAACUCCCUGUUGAGAAAAUUGAAGAGCAGCAUAGUAAACUUGUAAAGGCUCUUCAAGAUAUCUUUGAGCUUGUGACAAAUGAUAUGAUGGUACAUGGUCACAGGUUAGUGAAUUUCAAAGCUGUUGUAGCCUCUAUCUGUGAAGUUUUAAAGGUGAACUUGCUUAAUAAUUCUUUAAAUGUUUAGAAUUCUGGAUUUGCUUGAGCCUCUGGAAGAUUCAGAAGAGGACACAGGAAUUUUUAUGAGGGUUAUAGAACCACAGUUGUUUGAAUCCUAUGGAGAAAGGAGAUGCAUUCAUUUUCCGCUGCCAGAUAGUACUUCAUUGAGUGAACAGGUACGUACACUGUGAUCGUCUUCAUUCAAAUGUUCCAAUCCUGUGAAAAAAUGCUCAUCUUUCUAAUUUGGUCUUGGCAGAUCCAGCGGUUCCUGUUGUUGUUAACCGUCAAAGAUAGUGCAAUGGACAUACCAGAGAACUUAGAUGCUCGACGACGCAUAUCUUUCUUUGCUACUUCGCUUUUCAUGGAUAUGCCAGACGCUCCUAAAGUACGCAAUAUGAUGUCCUUCAGGUUUGCCUUGCACAACUUUCCCUCAGUAAAAUAUAUAGAUUCUUUGGAUCAACAACUGAUGAUUAACACUUUGGUUGCAGUGUCUUGACACCGCAUUAUCAGGAGGAUAUUAACUUUUCAACCAAGGAACUACAUUCCGCAAACUCCAGCGUGUCAAUCAUCUUUUAUAUGCAGAAGAUUUUUCCAGGUAAAAUCAAUGUUUAUUCUGAUUGAUGAAUGUUUUCUCUGGUCAUGUUUCAAAAUUUUCUAAAUCUUUGGGUCGUUAGAUGAGUGGAAAAACUUUCUGGAGCGAAUGGGAUGUGAGAAUUUGGACGCGUUAAAGAGAGAGGGUAAAGAAGAGGAGCUUCGAAACUGGGCAUCGUUCCGUGGACAAACACUGAGUAGAACAGGUGAGAAACUUACACACUAUGUGCAAAUUGCCUUAUACAGGGAAGUAACAAACUUAAUGUUGUUUUCAUGCAUGAACAUAGUUCGUGGUAUGAUGUACUGCCGAGAAGCUCUGAAAUUGCAGGCCUUCCUUGACAUGGCAGAUGAUGAGGGUUUGUCAUUUUGACUCUCCUCUCUGAUCUUUGCAAAUUUCUGUUUGGAAAACUGAUCACCUGUUGUCUCCUAUAGAUAUUCUUGAAGGAUAUGAUGACGUGGAGCGAAGUAACAGACCUUUAGCCGCGCAACUUGAUGCAUUGGCAGAUAUGAAAUUCACAUAUGUUGUCUCUUGCCAAAUGUUUGGAGCUCAAAAAUCAGCCGGGGAUCCUCACGCACAAGACAUACUCGACCUGAUGAUAAAGUAAGCUGUCAUUAAACAUGAUCUCAGAUAGAUUCAGUAGACAAAGUUUGUGCAUGCUUUCCUAAAGCAACGUUACAUGACUUGUUGCGUUCAGGUACUCAUCUCUCCGUGUUGCAUACGUUGAGGAGAGGGAAGAAAUCGUGUCGGAUAACCCUGAGAAGGUUUACUACUCUAUAUUGGUGAAAGCUGUCAACGGUUUCGAUCAGGUAUCAAACGCUCUACUCAACUAUUCUUGGUAAUUUGAUGUGCACGUUGGUAACUUGGUAACUUGGUUGUGGUAACUUAGGAAAUAUACCGAGUCAAGCUUCCUGGACCACCUAACAUCGGAGAGGGUAAGCCUGAGAAUCAAAACCACGCUAUAAUUUUUACUAGAGGUGAAGCACUUCAGACUAUUGACAUGAACCAAGUAAGUUUUUUCUGCAUCUUGGAUGUACAAUUAGUGAACCACCUCUUCUUCCUCUAAAACUUUUCACAUAAAUGUUAGGAUAACUACCUGGAAGAGGCAUUCAAAAUGAGAAACCUCCUUCAAGAGUUUCUUCGGAACCGUGGAAGAAGACCUCCAACAAUACUUGGGUUAAGAGAACACAUCUUCACUGGAAGGUUUGUACACACAUGCAUAUAAAUAUCUUCCACAGUCAUAAGAAGGGAGUUUACUGAGUUUUAUGACAUUGCAGUGUUUCUUCUCUAGCGUGGUUCAUGUCAUAUCAAGAAACCAGUUUUGUCACAAUCGGCCAAAGACUUCUUGCUAAUCCUCUCAGGCAAUAAUCUCUAAGUUUUUUUUCUUAAAGGAUGCCCAUAAUAAUCUCUAAGUUCUUCAAAAUAACAGUUUCCAUUUUUGCUGAGACCAAUAAACUGAACUUUCUUUUCCAUUAAAAUACAGAGUCCGGUUUCAUUACGGGCAUCCUGAUGUCUUUGAUAGAAUAUUUCACAUAACAAGAGGCGGUAUCAGUAAAGCAUCAAGAACUAUUAACUUAAGCGAGGACGUUUUCGCCGGUAAUGAAAUCUCACAUUAAGAAGUUCCUUUUUCAGACAUUUGGUAAGGUUUACCUGUAAAAUUACAUUCUUCCUUGUAUUGUGCAGGUUAUAAUACCACCCUAAGACGUGGAUGCAUAACCUACAAUGAGUACCUUCAAGUCGGAAAAGGUCGUGAUGUUGGCCUCAAUCAGAUCUCAAAGUUUGAGGCUAAGGUGGCUAACGGAAACAGUGAGCAGACUAUUAGCCGUGACAUAUACCGUUUAGGACAACGUUUUGAUUUCUUCAGAAUGCUGUCUUGUUAUUUCACCACCAUUGGAUUCUACUUCAGUAGCUUGGUAACGUCUAUGAAACUUCAGCUGAGUAAUACCGUUUUUUUUUCUAGUUAGGCCUGCGGUUUCAUUUUUUUUUUGUUUUUUUCGGUUCGGGUAUCUCGGUUUCAGUUAAUUCGGUUUGGUCACAAUCCCACCGAAAUGAACCAAAAAUAAAAAUCGGUUCAGUUUUUGAUUAUUUUUUAUUUUAAUUUUUUUUGAAACUAAUCUAAUUUUGGACUUUGGUUAGAUUUCGGUAUAAUUAUUUUAAAAAAUUUGGAUACUUUCGGUUAAAUUUCAGUUAUUUUCUAUUAGUUCGGAUAUUUUUGGUUAAUUCAGUUUCGUUAAUUCGAUUUUUCAUUUUUUUUUUAUUUAAAAAAAAAAUGAAACUGAACUGUAAUAAAAACCGAAUUAUUUUUCAAAAUCAUACCAAACUAAAUCAAACAUGUAACAAAAUUUCUGCUGGUCCGGUUCGGACAAAAUCUACACAGGCAUAUUCCUAGUUGUGAAUGAGCUCUAAUGUUUUUGUUGAUGUUUGAACAGAUCUCCGUGAUCGGGAUUUACAUCUAUCUCUAUGGUCAACUCUACCUAGUCCUCAGUGGUUUGCAGAAGACACUUAUUCUCGAAGCCAAGGUGAAGAACAUAAAAUCAUUAGAAACCGCCCUCGCCUCUCAAUCAUUUCUCCAGCUAGGUCUCUUAACCGGUUUACCAAUGGUGAUGGAGAUCGGAUUGGAGAAAGGCUUCCUCAUAGCCUUCCAAGACUUCAUACUCAUGCAGCUUCAGCUCGCCGCAUUCUUCUUCACUUUCUCCCUAGGAACCAAAACUCAUUACUUCGGCAGAACGAUCCUCCACGGAGGCGCCAGGUACAGACCCACAGGGCGUAAAGUGGUGGUGUUCCACGCCAACUUCAGCGAGAACUACAGAUUAUACUCGCGUAGCCACUUCAUCAAAGGCUUUGAGCUCAUUAUUCUCCUGGUGGUCUACGAGCUCUUCAAGCAUACAUCACAAAGCAACAUGGCUUACUCGUUCAUCACCUUCUCAGUCUGGUUCAUGUCACUCACUUGGUUAUGCGCGCCGUUUCUCUUCAACCCUUCGGGGUUUACAUGGGAGAUAAUAGUCGGUGACUGGAGAGAUUGGAACAGGUGGAUCAAGGAGCAAGGCGGGAUAGGCAUUCAGCAAGAUAAGAGCUGGCAGUCUUGGUGGAACGAUGAGCAGGCUCAUCUCCGCGGCUCUGGUGUUGGCGCUCGCUGUUUGGAGAUAGUUUUGUCUCUCAGAUUCUUUUUGUAUCAGUACGGUUUGGUCUAUCACCUUGACAUCACACAAAGCAGCACUAAUAUUAUAGUCUACGCGCUUUCUUGGGUCGUAAUCCUCGCCACGUUCCUCACGGUCAAGGCCGUUGACUUAGGGAGGCAGCUGUUCAGCACGAGAAAGCACCUUGUGUAUCGGUUCUUCAAAGUCUUCGUCUUCGUGAGCAUACUUACGGUCAUUAUCACGCUAUCAAACAUCUGCCACUUGUCUAUCAAGGACCUUAUAGUCUCUUGCUUAGCUUUCUUGCCUACCGGUUGGGGUCUGAUUCUGGUAACCAAUCCACUCUUUGUUUUUAUUUUCUUUGUUAAAGGCAAAUACAUUUUUAGAUUCUUAUGGAGUUAAUUGUUUGCAGAUUGCACAAGCUGUUAGGCCAAAGAUAGAAGGGACGAGCUUGUGGGAGUUCACACAGGUUCUAGCUAGAGCUUAUGAUUACGGAAUGGGAGUUGUUCUGUUUGCGCCAAUGGCUAUCUUAGCUUGGCUUCCUAUCAUCUCUGCGUUUCAGACGCGGUUUCUCUUCAACGAGGCAUUUAACAGGAGGCUUCAGAUUCAACCUAUUCUUGCUGGGAAGAAGAAGAAAUAAAGACUUCUCUUCCUUUCUUCCACGCCUUUGCUUUGUACAUCUUUGUAACUAUUUCACUUUUAAUUGCUCUCUGUAGUCUGUACAAAAAUUCUAUUGAAUACAAAAUAUUUAACCGGUG
rnacentral:lncRNA from 1 species